GUUUCCGCUCCCGGGAUUGGAAUGACUCCUUACCCUCUCCCUUAAAACCCACAUCCUUUCGUCUUUCCCUCUCCUUCCCUCUUUGCUGAUGAGGCAACAGUUUGUUGCGAAAGCUUGAAUUUUAUGUGUAUGUUUGUGUUUGUUUGUGUUCUGUCGACCUGCCAGCACUUUCAUUUGGAUUUACAACAAUUCCAUACGUAGAACGUUAUGACAUCAGAGAUAAUCGUUGGGAUGUUGUGGAGAAAAUGGGUUUGCAUCGCAGUGCAUUAGCUGCUUGUGUAAGCGUAGGGGACGAUGCAGGAGACGGGUACCGCCGUACUAGGCAAGGUCCUAGGUGGUAUGCCGUUGCCUUCCUCUGACCUUAAUGGGGAUGAAUGAUGAUGAAGAAGACGACACAGCAACACCCAGUCAUCUCGAGGCAGGUGAAAAUCCCAGACCCCACCGGGAAUCGAACCCGGGACCCCGUGCUCGGGAAGCAAGAACCCUACCACGAGACCACGAGCUGCGGACUGUUAAAAAUACAUGUAAUUAUAGUUGGUCAUCAUAAGAAUAAACCUGAUUUAAACACACAAUCUGAUGUAAACCCACUACAACCAGCAGCCAUACAACAUGUGCACUCGUUUUGUUACGCUCUUGGAAGUAGGACCUACUCACAUAGUAGAUAAAUGAAACUUUGACAUAUUCUAAUGUAUUAAGAACCAUCAACUUUUCUUAAUCACCUUUUAGCUGGCGUACAGUUGCAGUCUCUGUAGACUCUAAUUGUGCACUGAAUGUCGUACUGUUAAUACAUAAUGUGAAAAUGGCUGAUGCUGCUUCCAUCUCCUUAGUGAAGAUGCAUGUGGAAUACUGUUUAAAAAGUGGCAAGAAAUUGGUUGUUCUUAAUGUUUUUUUACAAGUUUACAGAGAAAAUUCACUUUGAAGUUUUCCUAGGAACUUCAUUUACUACCAUUAAGGUGCUAUUACAGGCGAAGUGCAUAGCUGAAUUGACAGAGUUGGAGAAUGGGGAUGGGGCAUUUUGUGGGUUUCUGAAUUGAGUCUCAUCCUGGUCUACUUUUUCAUUAAGUUCAAAUACCUACAUCAUUUAAAUAUAAAAUUCAACAAAAAUAUGCUAAUUAACAUAUAAUCUAAUCAGAACCUUUUGUGA